UACGUAUGGAGCAAGCGUUAUCCGGAUUUACUGGGUGUAAAGGGAGCGUAGGCGGCAGGGCAAGUCUGGUGUGAAACUCCGGGGCUCAACCCCGGACUUGCAUUGGAAACUGUCAGGCUGGAGUGCGGGAGAGGCAGGCGGAAUUCCUAGUGUAGCGGUGAAAUGCGUAGAUAUUAGGAGGAACACCAGUGGCGAAGGCGGCCUGCUGGACCGUAACUGACGCUGAGGCUCGAAAGCGUGGGGAGCGA
rnacentral:rRNA from 1 species